UUGCUUUGGCAGCACAUAUACUAAAUUUGGAAUGAUACAGAGAAGAUUAGCAUGGCCCCUGUGCAAGGAUGACACACAAAUUCAUGAAGCAUUCCAUUAAAAA
rnacentral:snRNA from 1 species